rnacentral:rRNA from 1 species
UACGUAGGCAGCAAGCGUUGUUCGGAAUUACUGGGCGUAAAGAGUGUGUAGGCGGUGUUCUAAGUCUGUCGUGAAAUCUCCCGGCUUAACUGGGAGGGUGCGGCGGAAACUGGAAUGCUAGAGGGUGGGAGAGGAAAGCGGAAUUCCUGGUGUAGCGGUGAAAUGCGUAGAUAUCAGGAGGAACACCGGUGGUGUAGACGGCUUUCUGGACCGUAACUGACGCUGAGACACGAAAGCGUGGGUAGCAAACAGG